UUACGGCCAUAUCACAUUGAAACACUAAUUUCCAUGUGAUCACCGAAGUUAAGCAACAUCCAAAUUGGUUAGUACGUACUUAGAUGGGUGACCACUUGGGAAUACCAGGUGCUGUAA